rnacentral:lncRNA from 14 species
CCCCGUUCCGCCUUCGGUCCCCUUCCACGGCGACUCUCCGCGGCCGCCUCCGGUUUGCGGCCCCGCUCGCUCCACCGGCGCCACUCGGUUGGACUGAUGAUGGUAUUGCGAUCUGCAGGGAUUUUUGUCUUGUCUGGCUCAGCAAGGUAGGGUAUCUAGUUCAAGCACAGUGUCAUUGCAAGGAAAUGAGUCUCUUCUUUAAGAAGAAUUUGCUGGAAGGAACAGAGAGCUGAUACACAGCUAUCUGCCAGGGAUGAUGGCAAAAUAACUGGCCUCACAAGUACUAGGGGACAGUUCUUCUCAAAAUAUUACUCAGCUAGCUGAAAUCCAUCCAGUGUAACAGGAGCCUUUCUUGCAAAGGAGAAGCAUGCAGCGAAAGUGUAAUUUAUGGACCAUUUCUAUUUGUUUUCUCUCUUAGCUACUCACUGUGAGUUUUUUUCCUGUUUAUGAAGCCAAGUAUUCUUACAAGUUAAUAAAAUAUACUUUUCCUAUGUUUGAUAAUAAUUU